rnacentral:rRNA from 1 species
GCCCCAGACUCCUACGGGAGGCAGCAGUGGGGAAUAUUGCACAAUGGGGGAAACCCUGAUGUAGCGACGCCGCGUGAGCGAUGAAGUAUUUCGGUCUGUAAAGCUCUAUCAGCAGGGAAGAAGAUGACGGUACCUGACUAAGAAGCCCCGGCUAACUACGUGCCAGCAGCCGCGGUAAUACGUAGGGGGCAAGCGUUAUCCGGAUUUACUGGGUGUAAAGGGAGCGUAGGCGGCGAUGCAAGCCAGAUGUGAAAGCCCGGGGCUCAACCCCGGGACUGCAUUUGGAACUGUGUGGCUGGAGUGUCGGAGAGGCAGGCGGAAUUCCUAGUGUAGCGGUGAAAUGCGUAGAUAUCAGGAGGAACACCGGCGGCGAAGGCGGCCUGCUGGACCGCGACUGACGUUGAGGCUCGAAAGCGUGGGGAGCGAACAGGAUUAGAUACCCUCGUACA